UUCUGAUCCUAAGGAGACUGGCUGGAAGAGUGUCAGGCCACACCCCCUAGAAACAGCUUUAAAUUCUGACUCAAAACCUAUCAGUCAGCAGGGUCCUGCCCAGGAACGACUAGCCCAGAGGGUGUGGGCUUUUGAGCUCUUUAGAAGAAAACCAGAAAAGAAUUUUUUGGUUUAAAGAAAAAAAAAUACGAGCUUCCAAAUAUAAUGUGCUAAAACUUAGGGGAAAAAGUCAAAAAACCCUGCUGCUCGUUCCCAAUAACCGGCCAAAACUUUCCAACAAAGCUGACUACUUUGGUGGUUAAAAGCACUUUACAGGUGUCAGACUGCUGGGUUCACAUCCCAGCACAGCCACUUACUAUGUGACCUUGUACAAGUUUCCCUCUCUCUCUCUCUGAGCCUCAAUUUUCCCCAUAGGGUAGUUAUAAAGAUUAAGUGAGAUAAUAUUUAUAAAGCGCUGAGGACGGGGCCAGGUCCAGAGUGCUGUGUAAAUGUUAAUCACUUGUUAUUACCAGGUGCGAUGUUAUCACGACCAAUGCCAAUCAUGCUUAGGCACCAAGACCCCAAAAAUAAAGAUCUGAGGAACCAUCUCCGUGCUCCUGAUGGCAUUAGCAAGAUGAAGACUCUCCCCUCUUCCAGACUUUUGGAGAGUAGGGUCUUGGUGAGAAAUUGGGUUAGGAAGUAUUUAGAUGGACUGGUUGAGUCAAUGUUGGUACAUUCAUAUGAUGGAAUGUGAUGUGACCAUUCAAAAAAUGCUGAGUGCAUAGGAACACUUAUGCAAGACUUGUUUGAUACAGUGCUGAGUGAAACAUACAGGUAACAGAACAGAAUGGCCCCAUUUCUGCCUAAAAGUAUAUAUAAGCAGCAUGUAUGAAUCCACACACCAUAAACUCAGAUGUGUAAGAAGGAUCACAUGUCAUUAUUUAAAUCAACUCAAAUCUGACUUUAAGUUUUACCCUGCUGGGCUGGCAGGAAAUUCAGUCCUGGUAUCACUGGGGUUUCUUCUUCCCCAACCUGGCAUCACACAAGAAUCUAACAUGCUAACAUGGUACCCAGAAAGCAGAGGCUGGCAUAUAGCCUCCCAUCCCUUGACCUCCCCCUGCCAUCAUGAUCAAGCCCAAAGGUCCCUCGUAGGUAUGUGGCUGUUCAUGAAAUGGGGGCAUGGGGAGUGCUCCUUAGCAAGGCUGGAGGUUCAGAUGCCUUCAACCUGUCCCCUGGAGAGGUUGUUUCCCUCAAGUACCAUGUCUCCCUUCAAGUCCUGCCAGGAUAGGUCGGGUUCCCUGAAACUUGGGGUCCACCAAUCUCCAUCCCUGACCAGGAUGGGGCUUCAGGAAGCUUUGGCUUUCCUGAGAGAAGGAGAGUGUCAGCAUUUGCUUCCUGCUCUCCUAGAGGCUCCCCAGGCUAGGAAUGCAUGGGCUUAG
rnacentral:lncRNA from 1 species